CAAUAGCGUAUAUUAACGUUGUUGCAGUUAAAAAGCUCGUAGUUGGAUUUCUGGAGGGAGCGUCGGCCCGUAUUUACGAGUGCGUGACGUCUCUGUCCAUCCUUGCGGGAAGGCACGGCAUUGAUUUGUUGUGUCGGAUCGCCUCAUUUACUGUGAAAAAAUUAGAGUGUUCAAAGCAGGCUUUCGCUUGAAUACAUUAGCAUGGAAUAAUAAGAUAGGACUUUGGUGCUAUUUUGUUGGUUGAGCCUAAAGUAAUGAUUAAUAGGGAUAGUUGGGGGCACCUGUAUUGCGUUGUCAGAGGUGAAAUUCUUGGAUUUACGCAAGACAAACAGCUGCGAAAGCGUCUGCCAAGGAUGUUUUCAUUAA
rnacentral:rRNA from 1 species